AGUAUCAUGCCCGCGCCAGCCACCAAUAGCUUUCACCGUUGAUGGCGGUGCGUUUAAUUACGCGCGUGAAUUCUUUUCCGAACUUU
rfam:Cronobacter sakazakii ATCC BAA-894, complete genome.